rnacentral:rRNA from 1 species
AGUGAACGCUGGCGGUAGGCCUAACACAUGCAAGUCGAACGGCAGCACAGUAAGAGCUUGCUCUUACGGGUGGCGAGUGGCGGACGGGUGAGGAAUACAUCGGAAUCUACUUUUUCGUGGGGGAUAACGUAGGGAAACUUACGCUAAUACCGCAUACGACCUACGGGUGAAAGCAGGGGAUCUUCGGACCUUGCGCGAUUGAAUGAGCCGAUGUCGGAUUAGCUAGUUGGCGGGGUAAAGGCCCACCAAGGCGACGAUACGUAGCUGGUCUGAGAGGAUGAUCGGCCACACUGGAACUGAGACACGGUCCAGACUCCUACGGGAGGCAGCAGUGGGGAAUAUUGGACAAUGGGCGCAAGCCUGAUCCAGCCAUACCGCGUGGGUGAAGAAGGCCUUCGGGUUGUAAAGCCCUUUUGUUGGGAAAGAAAAGCAGCAGGUUAAUACCCCGCUGUUCUGACGGUACCCAAAGAAUAAGCACCGGCUAACUUCGUG